rnacentral:rRNA from 1 species
CCUACGGGUGGCAGCAGUAGGGAAUAUUGCUCAAUGGGGGAAACCCUGAAGCAGCAACGCCGCGUGGAGGAUGAAGGUUUUCGGAGUGUAAACUCCUUUUGUUAGAGAAGAAAAUGACGGUAUCUAACGAAUAAGCACCGGCUAACCCCGUGCCAGCAGCCGCGGUAAUACGGAGGGUGCAAGCGUUAUUCGGAAUAACUGGGCGUAAAGCGCGCGUAGGCGGGAUUGCAAGUCAGUUGUGAAAUCCUAUGGCUUAACCAUAGAACUGCAUUUGAAACUGUUAUUCUAGAGUAUGGGAGAGGUAGGUGGAAUUCUUGGUGUAGGGGUGAAAUCCGUAGAGAUCACGAGGAAUACUCAUUGCGAAGGCGGCCUGCUAGAACAUAACUGACGCUGAUGCGCGAAAGCGUGGGGAGCAAACAGGAUUAGAUACCCCAGUAGUC